rnacentral:sRNA from 1 species
UGUCCAAGUGACACUAGCAAUCACAUUGCCUUUAGCUGAGCAAACACUUUGAGUUAUAGCCAUUUGACAGUGUCAAUAGGGAAAAAUUACAAUGCGCCCGAUUCCUGUUGGUUCUAAGCCGAAGAUAAUCUCGACGAAACUGCCACUAAAAAUUAAGCAGAGCUCUUAAGCAACUCUACCAAAGUGUGCGGCAGAUAUGCGGCCAUGAGAACAGAAAAAAGGAGCUGUAGUGGUCCAAUAGUCUGCCACACCGGUGAGUGGAUAAUAAAAAAUGCAGGAGGCAGCCAUCAGGCCAAGCGGAAACGGAAAUAAGUAAGCAGUCUGAAUUUCAGACUAUGAAAUCACAAAAAAGCCCGGCAGCUGCAGCAGCGUUUCCCCUCUUCCCGGCUCUUCUGGCUAUUAUGCGCACACAAUGCCAACGGUAAACGCAAAAAGAAACUGCGGGAAAAUGAAAGGAGCUCGAAGCGGGAAAAACUAGCGGAAAAGCGCCAUCCGGAUGGUACAUGCAGUAGCACAGAGAGGGUUUGACAACAUGUGGAAAAUAUUUAUGUUAACGGUUAAUAUUUAAUAUCUGUGGCUCUACGUACUCUUUAAAAUUAUUGAAGGGUAAAGCAGUUCGUAGCGAAAGCAAUACCCCGACGUAGGAUCUGACGAUUUGGGUCGAGCUUCUGAAUGGGUUCAUAUUCUUCUCGCACCUGCCACCCCUCCCCCGUUUGAAUUUAAUUUUUCUGGCCUGUCCCCCUUAUGUUCUCCCUCCGUUCUGGCUUCUUUUAUUUUUUGGUCCGGUUCAAAAUUGAAAGUGCAUUAGCCUUUUCAGUUAAUUUGCAGAGCCACUGGAGGGAUUUUGUUCUUCUGAUUGGCAGGACCCAGAAUCGGAUGCCAAAUUCCGGAUUAACAUCAGCCAGACUUAACGCUCGGCUUGCCUUUUCAAAACAAUUUGUGCUAAUUUCCAGCCAUGAUGCAGGGCCGUAAAAACGUAGAAUAAACUAAGGAAGAACUAAAGAGAA